AGGUUGAAUGGUGGUGGUUAUCUUAACAUGAUUCUGUGGCAGCGUCACAUGGGGAUGCGCGAUGGUGUUGAAUAAUCUGGUACAGCAGCCUCGUGUAUCACUUCCCCUAAUGACUGAUUCUACCAAGGAAUCUAGAAGAGAGAAGCCACACGCCUGACCCGCUGCUACGCUUAACCUUUUGCGACGAUUUAGAAAAGUUCGCCUAACUCCUAUUCCUCAAGAUGAAAUCCGCCCAGGGUCCUGUUCUACUGUUCCUCGCCGAGGCAGCUGCGGGCGUCGUCCCUUCGCUUUUCGAAACGCCCAGCGUCGUAUACGCUUCU